UUACGGUCAUAUCCCGUUGAAACACCGGUUCUCGAACAAUCUCCAAAGUUAAGAAACGUUGAUCCUGGCCAGUACCUAGAUAGGUAACCGCUUGGGAAUACGCGUGUUA